CAAACCAAAGCUGGCGACCGGCGCACGGGUGAGUAACACGUAUCCAACCUGCCUCAUACUCGGGGAUAGCCUUUCGAAAGAAAGAUUAAUAUCCGAUAGCAUAUAUUUCCCGCAUGGGUUUUAUAUUAAAGAAAUUCGGUAUGAGAUGGGAAUGCGUUCCAUUAGUUUGUUGGGGGGGUAACGGCCCGCCAAGACUACGAUGGAUAGGGGUUCUGAGAGGAAGGUCCCCCACAUUGGAACUGAGACACGGUCCAA
rnacentral:rRNA from 1 species